CUCUGCGGCAAAAAAUAUCUUCUUGCUUUGUAGAACUCGAGAAAUUUUUGCUUCAAAACCGACCGAUCGUAAGCAGCAUGAUUGUAAGAGAGAAGGAAAUGGGUUUAUCUGGAUUAUACAAUGUGGUGGAAACCAUUGCUAAUAUUAUGAAUAUCAAAGAUAUAAAAGUAAUAAGUCAAAAUAUAUCUUUGGCUAAACUUGGAAUGGAUUCCAUGAUGGCUGUAGAAAUUAAACAAACUGUAAAACGAGAAUUUAAUAUUUUGUUCACUGCACAAGAAGUAUGGAACCUCACAUUUGCAAAACUGAAUAAAAUAUCUAAUGUAGACGUUAAUCAAGAUACUAUUAUAAAUUGAAUUAUUAUAAACUGAAGCAACUGAUAUGAAUAAGCUGGAUCUUACGAAACUUAGUUAUUAAGAAACUGAAUCACGAAUGCUGAUAUUAUAAACGAUAGUUUAAGAAUUUUAUACUCUUUACUGGGAACGGAAUCUGGUGCAAUCUUUUGAUGUGGAGGAGUGGGCAAAUUAUUAUUAUUAUUAUUUAAAAUUUAAUCUGUGGUUUAAAAAUUAUUUAAUUAUAGAAAAGAUAUUCCCAAACGUCUGCUACAAAUUUUUGUCAACAGAUAGACUGCAGAUUGUAUACAAAACCUGUUACAUCAGUUGAUGACAGCAGAAAUGUUACAAAACCUGCUGAUAUAAUUUGAUAGCAGAUCAGUAGCAGAAACCGAGCAGAAUUUGCUCGGAAUUAUUACAGCAGAUUGGCGGCAGAAACCGAGCAGAAUCUGCCGUCACAAUUUAAAUGAAAUAGCGGUGUUACGUCCUAACCUGGAGGGAAAGGGGUAGAGUCAGGUAUACGGGCGGACGCAACCAUAAAAGUAUUUUAUGGUGUUUGCUCGCUGGUCGGUAUGAGGAGAGGCGAUCGCGCGAGCCGAACGAUUUUCUUUGGCUGAGAACAGGUCAACAAUCGUAAUGAUCGAUAUUACGCUGUUAGAGGCCUCAACCAAUCGUUCGUGGUUCCCUUUUCUGGUCAAGAGAAUUAACUCCUUUUACCAAGGGCGGAACCUCGUGCAAAUUUUCAAAAGGAGAGGGGGGGGGUAGAAGAGGAAGGCGAGAGGUCUUAUAACUAAUUUAAUUAUGAAGAUUUUGACUUACUACUUGGAUGUCCUGGAAAUAUAUCUGGAUCCUCUUGGGUCGUUCAGUGGUCCGUAUUCACGUCGAUGAAUAUUGCUCGGAGGUUGGUUUAAUAUGUUGGAGAAGCAAUUGCCGCGCGCGGUACUUCACUCCUCCGCGACGAGUUUUGGAUUUUGGGAUAAGAAAGGAAUUUUAUGUUAGUCCAGAAAUUCCAGGCGUAAAGCGUGCGGUGGGCCGCACCACGAUACGCGGGGAUACAGAAAUCGAUACCACGUGCGGUGGUCCGCACCGAAAAUAUCGAUACUGAGUGCUGAUCUGAAGAAACAAUUAGGAAUAAGGCAGGGGUAUGAACUAAGAUUCGAUUGAGCUGGAUUCAGAGAUGUUGAGAGAACUAUAUUAACUGCUUAACUGCUGCCUUCACGGGUGGGUGUCUUCCCUUUUAUACUCGAAAUUUUGGGUUUUGGAAGGGAGACAUUCCUUCCGAGGGGUUGUUAAUAAAAAUAAGAUAAAAAAGGUUGUUUGAAGAUUAAUAGAUGGAUUGCUCGAAUGACAUGUAUAUCGUUCCGUCGGCUUUUCUGUCGGC
rnacentral:lncRNA from 1 species